rnacentral:rRNA from 1 species
AUUGAACGCUGGCGGCCGGCCUAACACAUGCAAGUCGAACGAGUGGCGGACGGGUGAGUAAUGUCUGAGAAACCGCCUGAUGGAGGGGGAUAACUACUGGAAACGGUAGCUAAUACCGCAUACCAUCGGAUGUGCCCAGAUGGGAUUAGCUUGUUGGUGGGGUAACGGCUCACCAAGGCGACGAUCCCUAGCUGGUCUGAGAGGAUGACUAGACACACUGGAAGUGAGACACGGUCCAGAUUCCAAAGUGAGGCAGGAGGGGGGAAUAUUGGACAAUGGGCGCAAGCCUGAUGCAGCCAUGCCGCGUGUAGGAAGAAGGCCUUCGGGUUGUAAAGUACUUUCAGCGGGGAGGCGUUACCCGCAGAAGAAGCACCGGCUAACUCCGUGCCAGCAGCCGCGGUAAUAC